GGGGGUGUAGCUCAUAUGGUAGAGCGCUCGCUUUGCAUGCGGGAGUCACAGGGUUCGAUUACCCGCACCUCCA
rnacentral:tRNA from 1 species